AUUGAACGCUGGCGGCAAGCCUAACACAUGCAAGUCGAACGAGUGGCGGACGGGUGAGUAAUGUCUGGGAAACUGCCUGAUGGAGGGGGAUAACUACUGGAAACGGUAGCUACUACCGCAUACCAUCGGAUGUGCCCAGAUGGGAUUAGCUAGUAGGUGGGGUAAAGGCUCACCUAGGCGACGAUCCCUAGCUGGUCUGAGAGGAUGACCAGCCACACUGGCACUGUGAAACGGGCCAGACUCCUACGGGAGGCAGCAAUGGGGAAUAUUGCAAAAUGGGCGCAAGCCUGAUGCAGCCAUGCCGCGUGGAUGAAGAAGGCCUUCGGGUGGUAAAGUGCUUGCAGCGGGGAGGCGUUACCCGCAGAAGAAGCACCGGCUAACUCCGUGCCAGCAGCCGCGGUAAAUUC
rnacentral:rRNA from 1 species